rnacentral:rRNA from 1 species
ACGGGUGAGUAAUGCUUAGGAAUCUGCCUAUUAGUGGGGGGCAACAUUCCGAAAGGAAUGCUAAUACCGCAUACGCCCUACGGGGGAAAGCAGGGGAUCUUCGGACCUUGCGCUAAUAGAUGAGCCUAAGUCAGAUUAGCUAGUUGGUGGGGUAAAGGCCUACCAAGGCGACGAUCUGUAGCGGGUCUGAGAGGAUGAUCCGCCACACUGGGACUGAGACACGGCCCAGACUCCUACGGGAGGCAGCAGUGGGGAAUAUUGGACAAUGGGCGCAAGCCUGAUCCAGCCAUGCCGCGUGUGUGAAGAAGGCCUUUUGGUUGUAAAGCACUUUAAGCGAGGAGGAGGCUACUUGGAUUAAUACUCUAGGAUAGUGGACGUUACUCGCAGAAUAAGCACCGGCUAACUCUGUGCCAGCAGCCGCGGUAAUACAGAGGGUGCGAGCGUUAAUCGGAUUUACUGGGCGUAAAGCGUGCGUAGGCGGCUUUUUAAGUCGGAUGUGAAAUCCCUGAGCUUAACUUAGGAAUUGCAUUCGAUACUGGGAAGCUAGAGUAUGGGAGAGGAUGGUAGAAUUCCAGGUGUAGCGGUGA